CUUGACCUCAUUUUCAUGGUUCAGUGGUUAUAGUUAUGUUUUUGUGUUUUGGUCUGUUUUUCUUAUACUGUAUGCAAUAGGUCAACUAUAUUUGGUGUAUGGAAUGAUUGUAAGGUGUACAUGUCUAGCUGGCAGGUGUCAUCUUACCUUGACCUCAUUUUCAUGGUUCAGUGGUCAAAGUUAAGUUUUUGAGUUUUGGUUUUUUUUUCUAAUACUAUAUGCAAUAGUUCAACUAUAUUUGGUGUAUGGAAAUAUUUUAUGAUCUAUAUGUCAGUCACGCAGGUUUUAUUUGACCUUGACCUCAUUUUCCAGGUUCAUUGCUCAGUGUUAAGUUUUUGUGUUUUCGUCUGUUUUUCUUAAACUAUAAGCAAUAGGUCAACUAUAUUUGUUGUAUGGAAGAAUUGUUAGCUGUACAUGCCUGCCUAGCAUGGUUCAUCUGACCUUGACCUCAUUUUCAUGGUUCAUUGGUCAAUGUUUAGUUUACUUGGUUAAUGUUAAGUUUAUGUGACAGUUGUAAUAAAGCUUUAUAUUUAGGACUAUCAACAUAAUAUCAAUGAUUAGUAAAGAAGGCGAGACAUUUCAGCGUGUGCACUCUUGUUAAUUUUGGGUCCUGUUUUUUUAAAUUGGUCUACAUUAAGGUCCAAAGGGUCCAAAAUUAAACUUAGUUUGAUUUUAACAAAAAUUGAAUUCUUGGGGUUCUUUGAUAUGCUGAAUCUAAACGUGUUUAGAUUUUUGAUUAUGGGCCCAGUUUUCAAGUUUGUCCAAGUUGGGGUCCAAAAUGAAACUUUGUUUGAUUUCAACAAAAAUUGAAUAUAUGGGGUUCUUUGAUAUGCUGAAUCUAACCAUGUAUUUUGAUUUUGGACAUUGGACCAUAAUAGGUAAAUUAAAAAAAUUCAAGUUCUUAGACCACAUUCUUUCUGUGUCAGAAACCUAUGCUGUGUCAAAUAUUUAAUCACAAUCCAAAUUCAGAGCUGUAUCAAGCUUGAAUGUUGUGUCCAUACUUGCCCCAACUGUUCAGGGUUCGACCUCUGCGGUCGUAUCAAGCUGCGCCCAGCGAAGCAUUUUAUUUGUUAUUAUUUUGAAUAUUAUUAUAGAUAUAUAAACUGUAAACAGCAAUAAUGUUCAGCAAAGUAAGAUCUACAAAAAAGUUAAUAUGACCAUAAUUGUCAAUUGACCCCUUAAGGAGUUAUUGCCCUUUAAAGACAAUUUUACACAAUUUGUUCAUCAAGUUUGCUAACAUUUAAAAAUAUUCUCCUCUGAAACUACUGGGCCAAUUACCUUCAAAAUUUAAAUAAAUUUUCCUUAGGGUAUCUUGUUUAUAAAUUGUAUCCGAAGUUUGUAUCCAUCGACAAACAUGGCCACCAUGGCUAAAAA